GCACAGUUAAAAAAAAAAAAAUUACCUCAAAUCAGCUCUUUGGACCAAUGAAAGGCUUAAAUAAAUAUUUCCUGGGCUGGUUAAGGAAAGCAUGCUAAUGUUGAUAAAAUGAAGCCUGGUGCAUUUAUAUUUUUAUGCCACAACAUCACUAUAAACACUUUAUACCCCUGUUAUUUAUAAUAAUGUGUGGUGUGCAUGAGUACAUCACAGUGAGUAAUAUGUACUGUAUACGAAUUACCACAAACAUUCUCAGGAAUAAACCUCAGUGUGGCUUUAUUUAUCACAUCGCUCCGUGGCAAAAAAAAUUAAAUUAAAAAAAUAGAAUUGACAGUAAUGUGCACUGUAUGUGAGCUCCCCAGCAGUAAACCCUGGGGAGUAUGAAUAUAUCAUAUAGUUUCACAAUAACUAAAAUAAAAAGAACAAUUCAAAUUUUAAUUCUCCCUGCAAUCACCUCCAAAUUCCCCCUGCUACCUCUUGUCUUAUUUCCCCAUUUUAGCUUUAGAUUGUAAGCUCAUGGGCUAUCUAGCAAAGUACUUUAUAUAAAAGAGCUUCAAUAGCUAGAUCUCAGCUCAUGGACAAUGCCCUCUUUACCUUUUGUGUUGGUUUGUUUAUACUAUACUGUCUUUUUACCCAAUUGUACAGCGCUGAGGAAAAGGUUGGUGCGUUAUAAAAGCCAGUAAUAAUAAUAAUAACUCACAGUUAGGAUAUAUCAAACCACAGUAAUGUGCUGUGUGAGUGGGUAUUACAGACAGGGCCAGCCUUAGAGAUAUGCGAGCUGUUGUGAUGAGGCAGAGCCAGAAAUAUGGAGGCGGAACUAAAUCGGCAGCGGAGGCGGCGCUAAAUGGCCAGCAAGGGCGAAGUUAAGUGUGGCCUCUACCAGCUGCACGGUAACACUGCACACUGAGGGGGAAACAGGUAGGAGUUCCUGCUUCCUCAACUGCUAGAAAGGGACUGCAGUCUCCACUCCUCCCUCUUCCAGAGGAUAAUGGAGAAAAGUACCUGUCUGUGCAAAUGUGUGUGUGUGUGUGUGCCUCUGUCAGCCUGUAAAUCUGUGUGUGUGACUAUCCAUCUGUAACUGUGUGUGUGUCUGUCUGCAAAAGUAUGUGACUGCCUGUCUAUCUGUAACUGUAAGUGUGUGUGUGUGUGUGUGUGACUAUCUGUAACUGUGUGUGACUGUCUGCGGUUGUGUAUGUAACUGGUGUGUGUCGGCCUGUAAAUGUGUCCAUAUGGAAGUCUGUCUGUGACAGUGUGUGUGACUGUCUGCCUGUAACUGUGUGUGUGUGACUGUGUAUGUAACUGUCUGUCUGCCUGUCUGCAACUGUAACGAUAACUUACCUUUCCCCACCGGACCCGCGCAGCACGGCGUCCUCUUCCAACACUUCCAGGAGGCGGCUCAGUCUUUCUGACGCCGGCCGCUCGCAACACGCCCACUUUUAUGACGUGGCCACACUCCCAGACCUUUUGGGGGCGUGGUUUUAAAGCAAAAGAUCCCACACUAUAUAAAGGCAACCAUGGCAUUUGUUAGGCGCCCUAGUGUGGUUCUUGUUUGAGUCCUCUAGCGCUCUUUAUAUUCUGAUUGACUUUUUGGUAUCUGACUCUUAGCUUCCCUUCUGACUAUUCUGUUCUCUGAUUUCCCAUUAUUUUGGCUUGGAUUAUCGUGUGCCCGUCUUCUGUACUCCCUUGACCUCUGGCUAUUCCUUUGACUACUCUCAGACGCAAGUCCGGCCACUCUAAGGUUCCGGUAAACGUCUUCAUCUGGGUUUCACUCUGUGUGAAGGGGUCACUGUUGUGACAGCAACUGUGUGUGUGACUGCCUGUAACUGUGUGUGAAACUGUCUGUCUGUGACCAUGUGUGUUUGUGUGACUGUCUGCCUUGACUGUGUGUGACUGUGCAGGAUAAAUGGCAGAGGGAGUGGGAGUGCAGGAUAAAUGGUAGAGGGAGUGGGAGUGCAGGAUAAAUGGCAGAGGGAGUGGGAGUGCAGGAUAAAUGGCAGAGGGAGUGGGAGUGCAGGAUAAAUGGUACAGGGAGUAGGAGUGCAGGAUAAAUGGUAGAGGGAGUGCAGGAUAAAUGGCAGAGGGAGUGGGAGUGCAGGAUAAAUGAUAGAGGGAGUGGGAGUGCAAGAUAAAUGGCAGAGGGAGUGGGAGUGCAAGAUAAAUGGCAGAGGGAGUGGGAGUGCAGGAUAAAUGGUAGAGGGAGUAGGAGUGCAGGAUAAAUGGUAGAGGGAGUGGGAGUGCAGGAU